AGCCUGGGCGACAGAGCGAGACUCCAACUCAAAAAAAAAAAAAAAAAUAUGCUUCGAGGACUUCCCAGGUACAUCCUCCGACAAACAACUGACGUUCUCUGCCCAGGUCUUGAGACAUCGAGAGAGAGAGGUGUGAAUACUAUAGCUAUUUUCAUGGUGAGACUUCUACGAUUAUUUUAAAAUAAUAUGUCACUGAGACUUUACAGACUCACAUUGGUCUUUUACCUAAAGUCAUCCUAAUCAGCAAGGCUUCACCACAUACUCAGGAAACCUCAGUCGGACCCUGUAACAGAUAAUAACCCACACAGAAAGCCUCACACAUUAAAGGCACUCAAAAAAUCAUUUGUCUAAUUAAAUGAUGGCACCCUACAAAUUGCCCUGUGCCUUCCACUCCCACUAGAGUAGGUUGGGUGUUGACCCAUCAAUAUGAUUUCCCAGGAACUUGCUUAAUAAAACUAUUCAAAAUAUAAGGGGAAAAAAGAUACUGAUCAUCUUAAUGCUCAACAAAAGGUUAAAUAAACUACAGAGCAUAAGUGCAGUGGACUUUUAUGCCAUUUGCUAAAUGAUAAACAUCAUAGGACUAUAGGAAAUAUUUAUGAUAUCAAGCUUGUGAAAAAAGCAGGAUUCAAAAAUAUAUGCUACUUGUCCUUGCAAUGGUAAAAAAAAAAAAAAAAAGUAAUAUGCAAAUCACAGAAGACUGGCAGAUAAUUCCUAAUAAUUUAAAGUAGUUGGGGCAUUCGGUGAUAAGAGCAUAGGUUUUCCUCCUCUUUCUGUAAUGUUAUCUUCCUUUUAUAAUUUAAAUAUAUUUUAAUAAGGUAUAAAAAAAGGUUGCAUACAGAAAGUAAGGCUCAUUGAGCUUAAACAAUAAGACCUAAAGUAGGUAUCAAAACACAGUCACGAAACCCAGGGCUCCUAAUUUUCAACACAAGACUCUCAAACAAUAAAAUAAACCCUGUGUUUAUAUCCACGGCCACCUAGAUGUUUAAAACACCCAACUCUUUGGAAAGCCAGUUGCAAUUGAAAGUUUCCACGAUUUGUUUUAAUCCAUCGUUUCCCAAGAAUUUUCUUCACCUCAUUAGCUCUUCAACAGGCCAGCUGCAGAAUGAGGUUGUCUCCAUGUGAUGAGAACCAAAGGCCUAAGGAAGCUUUCUCCCUUCCUCCCUCCUACCCUUCUUCCUACAAGCACAGGGUCCUCCUCCAAGCCCCUGGGGCCUGCCUUCACCACCAUGCCAGCCUCUCACUCUGCGAUUCAUGUCUCUUCCCUAUCAGUUUCACAGGCAGAUGGUUGGCGAGGCCUGGGCUUUGACAGAACAUCUGAACCAUGCGGGGCCUACAGACCCGUGGACUUUCACCACCCACCAGAGACUCCAUCCCUCUGCCUUCCUAAAUGCUACCUGGAUGCUCCCAGGAAACCAUAGGUUCAGGGCAAAGUGUCUAAGCCAAAGGCUCCGUUUUCCCUCCCUACAGCCCCAGAAAAGGAUAGAAAGUGGGACUUUCCACAGGGCCCCUGACAUGUACCCAAAGCUGCCAUCAGGGAGCCACCUGGCACUUGGACAUUAGAAUGUUGUCUGCCAAGGUGCCUGCUUCUGAGGUUGAGAAGGCUAUGCUAAGUUCUUCCAGAAUUUUCUAUAGCCAUAGUGGGCAAGUACCUUCUAGUCCAUUUUAAUACCAAAAUUCAUUUUGUAUUAAUUUUAACAAGCAUUGAUUACCUAGCAUGUAGGCCAGCUAUUAUUAUUGCUCUAACUCCACUGCUAUGGUUUUAAUAUCCCCUCCAAAACUCAUGUUGUAACUUAAUCCCCAAUGUACCAGUAUUGAGAAGUGGGGCCUUUAAAAGUUGAUUGGGGCUGGGCAUGGUGGCUCAUGCUUAUAAUUCCAGCACUUUGGGAGGCCAAGGCAGAAGGAUUGCUUCAGCCCAGGAAUUUGAAACCAGUCUGAGCAACAUGGCAAAACCCUGUGUCUACAAAAAAUACAAAAAUUUGUCGGGCAUGGUGGCACGCGCCUGUAGUUCCAGCUACUUGGGAGGCUGAGAUUGGAUGAUGGCUUGAGCCCAGGAGGUUGAGGCUACAGCGAGCCAAGAUCGUGCCACUGCAUGCCAGCCUGGGCACAGAAUGAGACCCUAUCUCAACAAAAAACAAAAAGUUGACUGGAUCAUGAGGGAUUCAUAGAUUAAUGGGUUAUCAUGGGAGGGGAACUGGUGGUUUUAUGAGAAGAGGAAGAGAUUUGAGCUAGCACACCCAGCCCCCAGCCAUUUAAUACCCUGCUCCACUUCAAGACUCUGCAGAGUCCCCACCAGCAAGAAGGCCCUCACCAGGUGCAGCCCCUUGACCUUGGUUUUCUCAGCCUCCGUAACUAUAAGGAAUAAAUUUCUUUUCUUUAUAAAUUACUCAGUUUCUGGUACUGUUAUAAGCAACAGAAAACAAACUAAUACACCCCUCAAAAAAUGGUUAGUCAAGUAAAUUGUAUUAGCAAAUAAUUCAUUCUUUUCCCCAUCUUAUAUUUAUCAAAAACACUGAUAUAGCUACCAGAGCUUCAGAUCAGUAUGAAAUACCAGGGCUCCAAAACUGCGAGGCUGUCACUCCAGCCAAAAGUAAAGAAACCGAAUUAUCAUUUGCCUUUGCUUCAUUCAGCAUUUGGAAAUAUUAAUAAUUGAUCGAUGUGAUGCCAGCAGCCCCAUCAAGCUUAGGAACCCAAAGUUGGAAGUCACUGCUGCAGGGGGUAAAGAAUAAAUGACACACACUGUCCUUGGCUUUGAGAAACAAGGAAAACAAUAAUGUAAAUAUGUCCUCGCAAAACAGUUAACUACAUAAGCAGCUCCCAAUCCUUGUCCAUUGCUGUUCUAACAUACAUACUGAUACGGUUUGGCUCUGUGUCCCAACUCAAAUCUCAUGUCAAAUUGUAAUCCCCACGUGUUGAUGGAGGAGCCUGGUGGAAAGUUUUUGGAUCAAGGGGGCAGCCUUCUCCCUUGCUGUUCUCAUGAGAUCUGGUUGGUUGACGGAGUAUAGCACCUCCCACUUCAGUCUCUCUCCUGCUGCCAUGUGAAGAAGGUGCUUGCUUCCCCUUUGCCUUCCGCCAUGAUUGUAAGUUUCCUGAGGCCUCACAGCCAUGCUUCCUGUUAAGCCUAUGGACUGUGAGUCAAUUAAACCUCUUUUCUUCAUAAAUUACUCAGUCUCAGGUAGUGUUUUAUAGCAGUGUGAGAACGAACUAAUACAUAUACUGAUAAGGUUUCUCAGCCCUAAAGAGGAAUACAAUGUAUGUAUAUUAUCCCUCUGGUGAAGAGAGAAGACACUUAAUACGCAUUUGUCAAAUAAAUGAACGGUGACUCACUUUUUUUUUAAGACAAUUAAUUUUUACAGGGCACACUCUUAGGCAAGACUUCUGGUACAUGAUCUCACAACAACAUCAAAGUCCAAAAUUAAUCAAGAAAGUAAGUGCAGCUGCUGUUCUAGGAGGCUGGAGAGACAUUGGGUGAUUAGGCUGGCAGGAGACCUAGUGGGUCUAGUGGGUGCUCACCCUGAGAUGAUCUCCUCUCCCUAAUGCUUAUUCAUUCUCUUCUCUUGAAGAGGCUUCCCAUCUUUGAGCCUUUGCUGGGCAGGAUUUUGGUUACUGUGCUGAAAUAGCGAGGGGGACUGGUGGAGUGAGGGCAAGAUCCUUACAGGAUGUGAAGGAUGUGGGUAGGCUGAAAGAGGUAGAAAUUAACCAGGAGUGAAAAAAAAAAAAAAAACAAGCAAAAGAAAUUAACCAGGAGUGGACCGGGCAUGGUGGCUCACGCCUAUAAUCCUAGUGCUUUGGGAGGCUGAGACAGGCAGAUUGCCUGAGCUCAGGAGGUCAAAACCAGUCUGGGCAACAUGGUGAAACCCCGUCUCUUCUAAAACUAUAAAAAAUAAGCUGGGCAUGGUGGCAUGUGCCUGUAAUCUCAGCUACUGGGGAGGCUGAGACACAGGAAUUGCUUGAACCCAGGAGGUGGAGGUUGCAGUGAGCUGAGAUCAUGCCACCUUUCUCCAGCCUGGGCAACAGAGCAAGACUCUGUCUCCAAAACAAGGAAAUAGGAAUUAACCAGGAGUGUUUGGCCAACCACAUGGAAACUGGCCAAGCCAUGUAGAAAGGAGUUUUAGAGAGCAUGCCUACUGAUUCUACUCUAAUUCACCUGCAAAUCCACAUCCACGCAGACCCUAUGGAUCUAACAUUGUAGCCCUGAAUUACAUAAAAUCUUGAAACUUUUUUAAAAAAAGAUUUAUGUAUAUUUCUCACCCUUGAGAGAAUAUCAGUUACCGAAGAGUUAAAAAUAUCUCUUACUUUUUUCUACCCACCACAAAACUUACUUCCUUAAGGAUAAAAACCUCGGGAACUAUAUUAGUCUGAAAAUAAUGAAAGUUUUAG
rnacentral:lncRNA from 1 species